rnacentral:rRNA from 1 species
CCUACGGGAGGCAGCAGUGAGGAAUAUUGGUCAAUGGCCGGAAGGCUGAACCAGCCAAGCCGCGUGAAGGACGAAGGUGCCAAGCAUUGUAAACUUCUUUUGUCAAGGGACAAAAUCAGGCUCGAGAGCCUGACCGAGGGUACUUGAAGAAAAAGCAUCGGCUAACUCCGUGCCAUCAGCCGCGGUAAUACGGAGGAUGCGAGCGUUGUCCGGAUUUAUUGGGUUUAAAGGGUGCGUAGGCGGGCUGUUAAGUCAGCGGUAAAAGCCCGGGGCUCAACCCCGGCGAGCCGUUGAAACUGGCUGUCUUGAGAUGUCGAGAGGUAUGCGGAAUGCGCAGUGUAGCGGUGAAAUGCUUAGAUAUUGCGCAGAACUCCGAUAGCGAAGGCAGCAUACCGGCGGCGAUCUGACGCUGAGGCACGAAAGCGUGGGUAUCAAACAGGAUUAGAUACCCGGGUAGUC